rnacentral:rRNA from 1 species
UACGAAGGGUGCAAGCGUUAAUCGGAAUUACUGGGCGUAAAGGGCGCGUAGGCGGCUUCUCAAGCGUGUGGUGAAAGUCCGGGGCUCAACCCCGGAUCGGCCGUGCGGACUGGGGAGCUCGAGUUCUGUAGAGGCGGGUGGAAUUCCCGGUGUAGCAGUGAAAUGCGUAGAGAUCGGGAGGAACACCAGUGGCGAAGGCGGCCUUCUGGACCAAUACUGACGCUCAUGCACGAAAGCGUGGGGAGCAAACAGG